AGAAAAUGAGAGAGAGAGAGAGAGAGAGAGAGAGAGAGAGAGAGAGAGAGAGAGAGAGAGAGAGAGAGAAACAUUUUGGAAAAUGGAAAGCAUCAAAUUAAACUGUGAUACGCAUAAAAUUUUGCGUACUCCUUUUAUCGCUGACACUUUAAUCUCUUAUAUAAUUUAUGUAUCAUAUAUAUAUAUAUAUAUAUAUAUAUAUAUAUAUAUAUAUAUAUACAUGUUAAUAAUGUCUAUUUCGCACAAACAAAAUAAAAAACGAAAGCUUUCAUCGGUGGACUCAAAAAUAAAAAAAAACGAAUAGGAAGACAAUGGCGGAAAUGUAUCUAGCUUUACUAUAUACAUAUAUAUUUACAUACUAUACAUACUAUACAUACAUACAUACAUACAUACAUACAUACAUACAUACAUACAUACAUACAUACAUACAUUCAUAAGUACGAACGUACAUACAUGUAGAUAUUCUGUUGUAAGCGAGAACGAGUACGAUAUAUAUAUAUAUAUAUAUAUAUGUGACUAAGGAUUUAAAUAAUAAAUGAUCUAGACAAUCAGGAAACGAUAUAGUAGGAUUUCUCCGAAAGAUCGAACGAACUUCGUCCGCAUCAUUCUCUCUUCCCAGGCACGUAUAUUAAUAAUAAAUACAUACAUUUAUACAUACAUACAUAUAUAUAUAUAUAUAUAUAAAUAUAUAUAUAUAUAUGUAUGUAUGUAGGUAUAUAUUAUAUGUAAUAAGAAUAAAAUACGGGCGAAUAUACGAUCAACAAUAAUACUGAUAAUAAUAAUAUUAAUAAAGAAAAUAGGAUAUUAUGAAUAAUUGAUCCUAUAAUGAUGAUUAACGAUAAUAAUAAUAAUAAUAAUAAUAAUAAUAAUAAAUAAUGAUCAAUAAACAUCGCAGGAUAAGCGAUGAAUUAAACGGGAUAAAAAAUUGAAUGUCUUGUAUAUAGUGAAUGUAUAAAUAUCAUUAUUGUAUAGUGAUCAUGAUAAAUAGUAGCCAAAUAUGCGAUUGUAUUUUAAAUGUUCACACUCUUUCCUUUUGUUAUAACAUAUAUAUAUAUAUAUAUAUAUAUAUAUAUAUAUAUAUAUUUAAUCGAAUGAUCGGUUGAACAAAUAAAGGAUUCUUAUUUGAAA